rnacentral:rRNA from 1 species
AGACUCGGUGAAAUUUUAGUACCUGUGAAGAUGCAGGUUACCCGCGACAGGACGGAAAGACCCCAUGGAGCUUUACUGCAGUUUGAUAUUGAGUGUCUGUACCACAUGUACAGGAUAGGUAGGAGUCUAAGAGAUCGGGACGCCAGUUUCGAAGGAGACGCUGUUGGGAUACUACCCUUGUGUUAUGGCCACUCUAACCCAGAUAGGUGAUCCCUAUCGGAGACAGUGUCUGACGGGCAGUUUGACUGGGGCGGUCGCCUCCUAAAAAGUAACGGAGGCGCCCAAAGGUUCCCUCAGAAUGGUUGGAAAUCAUUCGCAGAGUGUAAAGGUAUAAGGGAGCUUGACUGCGAGAGCUACAACUCGAGCAGGGACGAAAGUCGGGCUUAGUGAUCCGGUGGUACCGAAUGGAAGGGCCAUCGCUCAACGGAUAAAAGCUACCCUGGGGAUAACAGGCUUA